rnacentral:rRNA from 1 species
AUUGACCUCGGAUCAGGUAGGGAUACCCGCUGAACUUAAGCAUAUCAAUAAGCGGAGGAAAGAAAACCAACCAA